rnacentral:rRNA from 1 species
AGCUUGCUCUCGGGUGACGAGUGGCGGACGGGUGAGUAAUGUCUGGGAAACUGCCUGAUGGAGGGGGAUAACUACUGGAAACGGUAGCUAAUACCGCAUAACGUCGCAAGACCAAAGAGGGGGACCUUCGGGCCUCUUGCCAUCAGAUGUGCCCAGAUGGGAUUAGCUAGUAGGUGGGGUAACGGCUCACCUAGGCGACGAUCCCUAGCUGGUCUGAGAGGAUGACCAGCCACACUGGAACUGAGACACGGUCCAGACUCCUACGGGAGGCAGCAGUGGGGAAUAUUGCACAAUGGGCGCAAGCCUGAUGCAGCCAUGCCGCGUGUAUGAAGAAGGCCUUCGGGUUGUAAAGUACUUUCAGCGGGGAGGAAGGGAGUAAGGUUAAUAACCUUAUUCAUUGACGUUACCCGCAGAAGAAGCACCGGCUAACUCCGUGCCAGCAGCCGCGGUAAUACGGAGGGUGCAAGCGUUAAUCGGAAUUACUGGGCGUAAAGCGCACGC